GAUGAACGCUGGCGGCGUGCUUAACACAUGCAAGUCGAACGGAAAGGCCCAAGCUUGCUUGGGUACUCGAGUGGCGAACAGGUGAGUAACACGUGGGUGAUCUGCCCUGCACUUCGGGAUAAGCCUGGGAAACUGGGUCUAAUACCGGAUAGGACGAUGGUUUGGAUGCCAUUGUGGAAAGUUUUUUCGGUGUGGGAUGAGCUCGCGGCCUAUCAGCUUGUUGGUGGGGUAAUGGCCUACCAAGGCGUCGACGGGUAGCCGGCCUGAGAGGGUGUACGGCCACAUUGGGACUGAGAUACGGCCCAGACUCCUACGGGAGGCAGCAGUGGGGAAUAUUGCACAAUGGGCGCAAGCCUGAUGCAGCGACGCCGCGUGGGGGAUGACGGCCUUCGGGUUGUAAACUCCUUUCGCUAGGGACGAAGCGUUUUUGUGACGGUACCUGGAGAAGAAGCACCGGCUAACUACGUG
rnacentral:rRNA from 1 species